UUUGAAUUUGGGAUCGUUGCCCUGAUUCUACAACCUAGAAGACUGAGACCCAGGGAGGUUCAAGCCUUGGACACUUUGUAGCCAGCAAGUGCAGAUUAAAGAACCCCAAAUACAACAAUAUUUAUGUUGAGAAAACAGAAACCUGAUAGAUGUUCAAUCGAUGGAUCAUUCAUAUUUUCUUUGGGACUGCACUGAAAGAGCAAGAGGUCUGCAGCAGAUGUGGGCCAUGGAUACAGACAUGCCAGCCACAAGCCAAAGAAAGUUCCACUCUUUGUAAACUGAAAAAAAAAAAAUCCAUGUUUGGGUGACAGAUGGACUUAACUUUGCAGAUCAUGGAAGAAAUAUCUUCUGACCUUUAAUAAGGUAUUUGAAAUUUCUCUAUUUUCCUCAUCAUGGGAAACAAUGCCUGCCUCUCAGAUUUAAGUGAAUAACAAAACUAUUUUACAACGUGCCUGUAAACUGUCUAUCAAUAAACACACAAUCU